UACGGAGGAUGCAAGCGUUAUCCGGAAUGAUUGGGCGUAAAGCGUCCGCAGGUGGCUAUGUAAGUCUGCUGUUAAAGAGUGAGGCUCAACCUCAUAAGAGCAGUGGAAACUACAUGGCUAGAGUGCGUUCGGGGCAGAGGGAAUUCCUGGUGUAGCGGUGGAAUGCGCAGAUAUCAGGAGGAACACCAUAGGCGAAGGCAGCUCGCUGGGACGGGUACUGACGCUGAGGCGCGAAAAGCGUGGGGGAGCGAAACAGG
rnacentral:rRNA from 1 species